AUUGAACGCUGGCGGCAGGCCAAACACAUGCAAGUCGAGCGGGGUUUUCGGACCUAGCGGCGGACGGGUGAGUAAUGCGUAGGAAGCUACCCGAUAGAGGGGGAUACCAGUUGGAAACGACUGUUAAUACCGCAUAAUGUCUACGGACCAAAGUGUGGGACCUUCGGGCCACGUGCUAUCGGAUGCGCCUACGUGGGAUUAGCUAGUUGGUGGGGUAAUGGCUCACCAAGGCGACGAUCCCUAGCUGGUUUGAGAGGAUGAUCAGCCACACUGGAACUGAGACACGGUCCAGACUCCUACGGGAGGCAGCAGUGGGGAAUAUUGGACAAUGGGCGCAAGCCUGAUCCAGCCAUGCCGCGUGUGUGAAGAAGGCCUUCGGGUUGUAAAGCACUUUCAGUAGGGAGGAAGGGUGUUGUGUUAAUAGCACAGCAUUUUGACGUUACCUACAGAAGAAGCACCGGCUAACUCUGUGCCAGCAGCCGCAGUAACAC
rnacentral:rRNA from 1 species